ensembl:lncRNA novel transcript
AUGGAUGGCUUUAGGAGAACCAUAGAAAACCAGCACUCUCGUAAUGAUGUCAUGGUUUCUGAGUGGCUAAACAAACUGAAUCUAGAGGAGCCUCCCAGCUCUGUUCCUAAAAAAUGCCCGAGCCUUACCAAGAGGAGCAGGGCACAAGAGGAGCAGGUUCCACAAGCCUGGACAGCAGGCACAUCUUCAGAUUCGAUGGCCCAACCUCCCCAGACUCCAGAGACCUCAACUUUCAGAAACCAGAUGCCCAGCCCUACCUCAACUGGAACACCAAGUCCUGGACCCCGAGGGAAUCAGGGGGCUGAGAGACAAGGCAUGAACUGGUCCUGCAGGACCCCGGAGCCAAAUCCAGUAACAGGAGCUGACCUCAGACCCGAGCUUCCUGACCACUGUGCUGUGCGCGCUGGGCGGCUUCUCGCUGCUGCUGGGCCUCGCUUCCCGGGAGCAGCGACUGCAGCGCUGGACGCGUCCCCUGUCCGGCUUGGUAUGGGUCGCGCUGCUAGCGCUAGGCCACGCCUUCCUGUUCACCGGGGGCGUGGUGAGCGCCUGGGACCAGGUGUCCUAUUUUCUCUUCGUCAUCUUCACGGCGUAUGCCAUGCUGCCCUUGGGCAUGCGGGACGCCGCCGUCGCGGGCCUCGCCUCCUCACUCUCGCAUCUGCUGGUCCUCGGGCUGUAUCUUGGGCCACAGCCGGACUCACGGCCUGCACUGCUGCCGCAGGUGAGCACGCAAGUAGCACAGGCUGCGCUCAGGACGGCUCUGCCACGUGCUAGUAGGCUCCUUUUAGGGGGUUGUUGAGCUGUGACUCCAAGUCAAGGUGCAACGCUGGGCGCAGGAUACCCAACCGUGCUUUCGCAGAGCUGGUACAACAGUGUGAUGCAAUGCCUGCUGUUACCAGAAGAGGGAUCCAGGCCACACGGAAGGGAGUCGUG